CUUGGGGACCCAAAGUAAUUGAAUAAUCAUCAAGUGGCCGAGGCAAGGAACUAACAAAGUCCUAGCCUCAUAUGACUACCUCUCCUCAAAACAAAUAUCCUUGCUGUCUGCAUCGUUAGUUGCCAUUACAUUGAUAUUAGGGUUUACGCAAUAGGCCUAACCCUUAACCAAAUAGUUUCAAUAGCAACAAGCCCACCUCCCACACAGAGUAGAAUGGAGGCAAUCCUUUUUUUAUCCGUUUUUCCUUAUUCCAAAUAUGUCAAUCAAUAGGGAGGAAUCCACUUUGUAAUCCAUGUUGGAGAGGAAAAUGGAACUAGUAGAUAAACAAGUCUUUCUUCUCCCAUAACAAUAGGAUCAUUGGUUGAGAGUUCUGGAUGACUGGAUGAGAACAAGUUUACUGCCAAUAGAGAAUGAG
rnacentral:misc_RNA from 1 species